rnacentral:lncRNA from 1 species
CACAAUUGAAAAAGACAUUAAUUGCUCAUUCUAACCCAACGGCCACAGUGGUUAUAGUCCUUUAUAGGAGGGAAAGAACCCCAACAACCCUAGAAUACAUAGUGUUCCAUUCAAGAGACGCUCAUCUAAUGUCUAACGUCUAACGUCUAACGUCUAACAUCGUUCACCACUGGGAGCUGUGGAUAUAGUGCCGAGAAAAUACAAUCACAUCUUGAAAGUUGGAAAUAAUAGAAAUUGAAAGCAUGAUCCCAAAUCUUUAUUUCAAAGCACCCAUCAGUGAGAGAAAGAAAGUAAAUUGGAAUAUGAAGACCUCUUUGAUCUUCCUUUGGAGGUAAAAUUAUAGGAAUCAAAAGAUUCAGAAGUGUCAAGCUGAAACUUGUCAAGAAAGGCUUCAGGAGAAAUAAAUGUUUCUUCUGUUUCAAGACAUACGUGAAGAAAAAUCAUAAAGGAAACCUGCGAAUGAAACCAGUGCUCCUACCACCGUGCUACGGGGUUUCUUUUUCAACUCUUCUUAAAUUCUUUGUGAUCAACAUAAAAAGCCUUUGGACUCAGAUUGGACCCAUGCCGUCAAUUCUUCUGGAUCUCCAGCUUGGUGACUGCAGAUGUUGGGAGUUCUCAGCCUCCAUAACGGCAUGACGCAAUUUCUUGUAAGAAGCUGAUGACUUCGUUGGCACUGGUGUCCGGCUGCAGACGGAGGAAGCAAUUACGUUGAGAAACAGGAUGACGCCACUGAGUGCUAAAACUCACUCUGGAGAGCUAUCAGAUGAUGGAAGUCUUUGAAAACUAGUUGUUCUUAAAAAAAUCAAAAUACGCAGCUGUGCCGCUUACAGCACGACAUCGUUCUUCUACAACACGGGAAAAAGAGAAACUGGUUCAAGUCAUACGACAGGUUAUUAUUUUGGUUAAUGUGAAAUGUUUAUCUGACAAGCUUAUUGAGUUUGAUUGGUGUUUAUAACCCCACAGCAAAUCUACAGUUUAUCUGAUCUCCCUUCCCCCUCCCAAACUGACAUCAACAAAUGUGCCAUCUGAAAAAACAAACAAAGAAAAACACCUGGGGUAUUAAAGUGUUUUAACCAGUAUGAUUUAUGUUAAUGGUACAGAAGAGAAUAUUUUUUGUUUCUCAAAAACAUAACAGGCAAUUGAUGUGCCAUAUUGCAGUAUGGUUUUAGCUAUCAACAUGUCAAGAUUUAGUUUUGCUGUUAACAUUUUACUAUUUAGAAGGCUAUAAGAAUAUGUACAGUGUAGCAACAACACAGGAUUCAUCCCCUCAGCUAUAUUUAUUGGGCUCUCAUUUUUCCCUCUUUUAUAGAAAAAAUUGAAAAAGAAAGAGAGCAAGAGAGACAGACAGGCAUCCACUCAAUCUAUUUCAUUUUCUUUAUGUCAAGUAAUGAGAAAUAAAGAGACAGAAAACCGAGCUCUUAAUAGCCUGUGCUCAGACCAAAGAGGAUUCCAGACUGAGGAAUCACAGUAUACUUUACUGGUUUGUUAUCUCCAGCAGAUAACUUAACCAUGUCAAAGCAUGUGCUACUUGAUCCUAGACCUUCAUGAAGUACGACAGCCCCACGGUUAAGGAUGUGUUGUGCGUGCUACUGGAUUGGGCGUCCCUGGUGGUGUUACCACAUAGGUGACAAUGAGUGAGAGGCAGGGGAACAUAACUAGAAGGCUUGAAGAUUGUUUUUCAAGUUUAAUUCUACCAGACAAUUGUUUCAAAUGCAAGGACAAGGCUGUAGGGCUGCAGCCAACAGGACUAAGUUGAUGCGUAAGUAGUAAAUAUUAUUAAUUUAUUACAUAAUCAAGACGAUCUGUAACAUCAAGGACAGGCCACCUUUGGCUGAUCAUUAUUUUCUGGCUCUACACAGAUAAUGUAUGUCCAAUAUUGGUGCUCCUGAGAGCACUGACAAUAUGAAUGUUCAUGCAACCCUUGAAACUUAAGCUCAAUACCAGACACAAAGACUUGAAUUAAUGAGAUAUGUAGUAUGUGUACACGUAUUUAUUUCAUGACCAGGUAAAAUACUUUAGACUCAGCAUACAUUUUUAAAUUAUAUUCCACAAUGAGGCAGAUGGAAUUAUUUUUAAAAUAAUUCUAUUUUACAACUUUUUGAAAGGAAAGAUUUUCCUUUUAAAAUGGAAUUAGCUAUUCAUGAAAAAAGAGAAUGUUAUGUUCUUGGCUUAGUUGUUCCAUAAAGAACUCAAAAUAAACAGAAGAAAGAGAUUCUAGACCGUGUGUUUUAUUUCCCAUGCAUCUAAGAUUGGAGUCAUAUGAACUUAAGAGAGAAAGAAUACUUUUUUAAAAAGGAUGUGUGUGUGUGUGUAUGUGUGUAUUUAUGUAUAUACACCAUUAAAUGCCAUUAAAUGUCUUCUCACAUAUAAAAUUAAUACCUUUCCUAUCAGCAAAAUGACUCACCUUGUUUUGUUCUUCAUGUCUUUCUCCUUUUCAGCAUAGCAAAAAUACGUUUUAGAGCAUUUACGUUAAGUCUAUUCAAUGGCCCAGUUAUCACCUAAGGCAGAGAUGUUCAUUUAGCCUCCAGAGCAGUGUUGGUAUUCUUCCCAAGAUGUUUGGAGUAAGUAUUUCCUUUGUGUUAAAACAGUAAAAUUUAAUUUCCUGUUUCAAAUAGCACCAUCAUUUGGGCUGGUCCAUAGUUAGUUUAUGAGUUUCUGGAGCUUUAAGAUUAGGAACUUUGGGAUCGGGUCUUCUUCAUCUUUGUAUAAAUAAGAUCGUAAAUGUGAAAGUGCCUGGUACAUACUAAGCAAAUAUUCUACUUCAAAAUCUUCAUGAGAACAGGUGUAGUAUAAAUAAAUAAAAUAAAGCAUUGAAACUAUAUGUUGGGCCCAAUUGAAAAUGAUGCCAAGUCAUACAAAGUCCCAAAGUAGUAACUCCUGGUUUUGAGAAUAUAUACACACAGACAUAAGGCAAACUAUCUUUCAAGUAUGAAGAUUAAAUAUAUACCUGAAUGGAUCUGGUAUUUUUUGCUGAGUGCCCCAUACUACAGUAUAUAAAACUGGUCAUUGUUAAAUUAUUUAUAAAUGAUAAGCCAUUAGAAAACCAAUGUGGUGUAAGAAAAUAUUAUUCCAAUGUAAAUCAAAAUUCUUCAAAGUGGUUAUAACGAAAGGCCUAGCAAUAGCCAUUUUGUAAAAUGAAUUCUAUCUAACAGCAUAGCUGCCCAUAAAACGAAAUUAUAUUCUCUCUGUGUAUGUCAGCACUGAUGAUGUCUAAUCAAUAACUCUGCUGCUGUCAAGCUCAGGUUGAAUUUGUAGGGAGGAAAAACACGUUACACAGUCCACCCACAUUAUUUCAUAAAGAAAUAGUCAUUUAUUUUAACCAAAGUCUCUUUUAAGAAAAGGUAAAGAGGGACAGUUACACUUUCAGGUGAGUUAUUCUUUUAGUGACUUGCAAUAUUUUUAGUAUAUCUUGAAAUAGGCUAAAUGGGGGAUUGAAAUAUUUGCAUGUAUGUCUCAACAAUGUUGUUUAAUAGCCUUUUAUUUACCUAGUUUGUAGUAUUUCUGUAAUAAGAAAAAACAAGUAGGGAAGACAUUUCCAUUAAAUAUACAGCCAUUGCAGUCAACAAGAAACGUCAAUUCUGGUAUUUCUUGAAAUGAGAGAGUAACAAACUUUUUAAAAUCUAAAGUCUUUUAUUAGAGACAAACAUUUUUAAUGUGUUAAUAAUACUGUCACUUGUUUAGAGCUUUGCAUUUACAGCGCUUUUAUAUAAUUAUAGUGUUUAUUCAGUGCUUAUGACGUACCAUGUAUAAGAUACGCAUUGUGAUCUUGUGAGUGUAUUAGGAAACAGAGAUUUUAAGACUUUAAGAAUCUUGCUCAAAUUAAAAAAAUAGGAAGUGAGAAUCAUCAUUUGUAUAUCAAUGUAUCUUACUCCAAAGCCUGUACGCAGUCACCUCAAUGGUGUGUUCCACAAAUAUGAUUUCAUUAACCGUGAGGAGAGUGAUUCACUGAUGCUCAGACACAUGUCCGAAGUUCUUGGUAUCCAUGCGCUUUUGACCGUCCUCCAUUGCCCAUCCUCCUGAAGCCUCACCUGUCCUUGAAGGCCCAAUAAAAGUCAUCUUUUUCUUUAAGAAAAUGAUAUUUGAUGUCCCCAAGUGGAAAUGUCUUCUAAACUCUUUUUCUCUUUCAUCAUAAUAUUUUAAUUUCUUAUGAAGAACUCUCUCUCAGAAGUCCAUUCUGUGCUGAAUUUGAGUUAUUUUGUGUUCAUAGCCCCCAAGAGAGAAUGUAGGAAACAUAAUUUUUGAAACUCAAAUGCCAUGUUAUUUGUUAACUAUAGUUCCUUACACCGGGCUUAUUCGAAGCCUUCUUCAACCACAUAACACACAUCUAAACAAUUCAAGAUAUGAAAAUACUACUCUAGAAUGUCUCUUAAGUAUUCCCUCUAAUCUUUCACUUAUCAUUGCUUUAAUUCUACCAGAUUUGUCAACUCUUUUCUUUUCUAUGUUUCUAGUCUCAUUUUAACCUCCAAUAUAUUGUCCAAAUUGAUGCCAGACUCACCAUUAGAAAAUAUCACCAUCUGGCCAACAACAUUCAAUGGCUCUCGACUCUUCUCAGAAAAACUCAAGCUCUCUAUCCAUAAUGGCAUAGGAAACCCUCUGUAAUUUGGCUCUUGUGUUGAUUAUAAUACCCCUCGCCUCCUUCUCUCUAUUCCUUUCGCUCUUCAGUCUCUUCACAGAAUAGGUCAAACCCAUUUGUGGCUUUGAAAAGUGAAUAGUUAUUUACAAUGAAAGCCAGAGAAGGUUAAGCAUUCCAAGCAGAAGAAACAACAUGAGUAAAAAUAGUGUUUUGAAGUGUCACAGCGUGUACUGUCAAGUGUCGUGGGACUGUAAAUGUGAGGUUUGCUGCUAUAUAGAGGCUUCCCUGAUCUUGGUUUAAUAAAAUUAAUUAUUCUUUCCUUUGUGUUGUCGAAUGUGUCAUAUGGUGGUGUCUAUUUCACUAGUAAAAAUAUACCUCCAGGAUUGGAUUUGUUUUAUGCACACUAGAACCAAGUACAUUGUGUGACUCAUAGUAGGCACUUAAAUGUUUUGUUAAUCUAUUGAACUGUUGAGAAAUGAUUCAAGAAUUUAUCAAUUUCAGGAUCUCAGAUCACUGAAAAUUUUAGAAAAAGUCUUGAUGAGAUUUUGAAUAUCAUAAGGUGAUGUACCCUGGUAUUCAGCAAUUAUGCUUUGUCUAUAAAAUCUUUAUGCUGGAUUUUGUGACCCCCAGUGGCUAAAGGGACAGGGAUUUCAAUAAAUGUUAUCUUUUUAAAAACAAUUAAAAUUAACCACAGGCAUCUAUUGGCAGGCUGUCCUGUGGGAGAGCUGGAGGAGGAAUCGGACUCAUUGGCAGUCACAAAGGAGGGCUACCCAUACCCGGGUCCCAGGACAUUGGAGAAGAUAAGAAAAUAUAUAUACAUGUUUACAUGAAGGAAAGUAACUAAACUGCUUCCAGGAGAAAUGUCCACAAAAAGAGUUGUAUAAGAGAAUUUAUGCUGGCUUUCUUCAUUAUAGCUAAAGGAUGGAAACAAGGUAAAUUUUCACCAACAGGAGAACAG